UGGGGAAUAUUGCACAAUGGGGGAAACCCUGAUGCAGCGACGCCGCGUGAGCGAAGAAGGCUUUCGAGUCGUAAAGCUCUGUCCUAUGAGAAGAUAAUGACGGUAUCAUAGGAGGAAGCCCUGGCUAAAUACGUGCCAGCAGCCGCGGUAAUACGUAUGUGGCGAGUGUUGUCCGGAAUCACUGUGCGUAAAGGGUUCGCAGGCGGAAAUGCAAGUCAGGUGUAAAAGGCAGUAGCUUAACUACUGUAAGCAUUUGAAACUGCAUAUCUUGAGAAGAGUAGAGGUAAGUGGAAUUUUUGAUGUAGCGGUGAAAUGCGUAGAUAUUAAAAAGAAUACCGGUGGCGAAGGCGACUUACUGGGAUCAUUCUGACGCUGAAGAACGAAAGCGUGGGUAGCAAACAGG
rnacentral:rRNA from 1 species